rnacentral:lncRNA from 1 species
UGUCCAUCAGGAGGGGAUUGUCGGCCUCCCCGGUAAUCUACGGAUAUUACUAAAGGUUAAGACUGAGGCAACAAAGCGACUCUAUUCAAAUAUCGGAGAUUGUGUAAUUCGCAAUUAAAAUAACAAGCAAAGGAGGAGAAACAGUCGCAGGCAAGAGGAGACCAGAGAGACGUAACUAAAUGUCAUGUGGGAGCUUGGACCACAGAAGGCACCUUAGUUUAACUGAAGCCAUGACACUGACCACCAUGACCCAAUCUUUCAAAACCAGUGAUGUGCCAUGAGUGCCAUUUUGUGAGAAGCCAUUUGUAUUUUGAGCAAACUCAGUGGCCUGAUGAUGACUGACAGGGAUGGCAACAUAACAGCAUACAUGGACUCAAGAUAUAGCAGAGAAGAACUUCUUAUACAUCAGCUCAUUUACUCCUUACAGCAACCCUAAGAAGUAGGUAACGUUAUCAUAUCCUAUUUCACAGAAAGGAAACAGACAGUACAAGCAACCUGCCAGAAGUCACACAGUCCAUUAGUGGGGAACUGGGAUUCAACCCUAAAAGUCAGGUUCCAGACAAUCGUGCUAAAUGUUUGGAGUCCCUGCCUGUCCUUCAAUUGGAGGGAAGAUUAAGGGGCAACUGAACACAACCUGCAAAUUUCACCAGAGAAGUUGUGACUUGAAUGCAAUCCAGAAAUGUAGCUGCCAGAUGCCGUUUUCCCAACAUUUGAAAAUCUGGGCUAAAGCGAAUUUCAUUGUAUCGGGAGGGAAAAGGAAUGGACUUAUUAUAUGAUGGUACAUACACAGCUUCAAAAAAGAAGACAUGCAUAUUAAUUACACAGAAGAAUGUCAGUGAUACAGAAAUUGAGAGAAAAAUAUAAACGUAUAAAAGUAUAUAAAAUAUGAUGCUACUGCUGUUCAGAAAAAUUUUUUAAACACACAUACACAAUUAUAUGUGCAGAGAAAAAAGGUCUGAAAUAAACAAGGUGAUCAGCAGAUAAAUCCAUCCAGUGAACAGAAACUUUUUUAAUCUGUAAAUUUCUGUAACCAUGGAUUUAAAAAUCUAUAUUUAAAAUGUAUACAAUAAAAGUCAAUUAAAACAAUACCUGC